GCAAGGUGCCCUGGCCAGCUCCCAAGUCUUAGCUGCUGCCUCUGACCCUUUGCAUGCACUGCUGCAGCCACACAAUACAUCUCCCUUCUCACUCCACCUUGGUGUAGGCUGCUUCUUGUGACUUACACAUUUUGCUAAUCGCCUUCAUGUCCUUCUAACCUCCUCCAGGAAGCUAUCUUUGGUCAUCACUUCCUUCAUUGUCCCCAGGCCAGUCAGCCAGUGUCCUGAGCAUCCCUUUACUGUAAGGCUUACCACACAGCCUUCAAGGCAUUUACUAGUCUUCCUCCUCUCCUGGACUGUGGACUUGAAUACAGAUGUACGCAAUGUACAAUGUACAAUGUACAAUGGAGGGACAGAACCAAAAAGAGUUCCCUGAGGAAUCGGCAGCUUUGAUAGAAAAGCCAACCCUAUUCCUCUUGAAGGUUUACCAACAAAUCCAGCUCUCACAGCACAUCCUCACCACUGACUCAUCCAGCUUCCUAUAUGAGAUCAUCACUUUGUGUGUUGGGACACCAAAUCUCAGAGAGGCUGUCUCUCUGCUGUUUACCACUCCACCAACUUCCCGGAAGUCCUUGGGUGUGAGGCUGACAAUCUGCAACCUGCACCAAACGUCAGGUCAGCCCUGAGUCAAUAACUUCUCAUUGUUAUAAAGCCACUGUUGGGUAGGAAAAUUUGUCAUUUAAAGAUUUUAUGGACCCAUUUUUUCUUCUAUUGCUUCUCUAUCAUUUC
rnacentral:lncRNA from 1 species